GAAAGAACUCUGUUGUCAAGGGACUAUUUUUCUCAUCCUAGUUCCAGAGCCUCUUUUAGAAAACGGAAGGAGACAGGAUUAUAGUCAGUGUGGAGCACGCAAAGAGUGUCAAGGGAACGUGGCGGGGUGAGGUCAGGGGCGUGAAGACCUGGCCCCGCCCCCUGAAGGACUGGGAGGAGUUACAAGGGCAGAAGUAAAGUGGAGAAAGACGCAGAAGGUGGCUUUGCUAAGCAACUGCUUACCAGAGUGUCAAAUAGACUGGCCGCCGUGUGCAGGGUCCAGACUGUCUUCUUCUGUGCAUGUAUCCCAGCACCUACACAGGACCACCAUCAUGGCAGUGUUGCUCAUCCAUUCUACACCCACCCCUCUGCCAGCCCCUGCGUGCUUUCUUUCGAAGGCUUCCCUACAGCACUUCAAACAUAGCAGCCAUAGUAGCCAUUUUUCAUACUUAAGGUCUCAAACAUUCCCGUUUCCCUGGAAAGCGCAAAGACUCUGGGCAUCAUGUCCCAGUGCCUAACAGAGCCUCACAAGAAUUCCAUGACUAAAGGCAUCCCAGUUCCAACCUAAACCAGUGAGAGAAGGGAAGAGAAGACUGCUUCCUCUGAAUCAUAGCAGUGCCCUUUCUAAAACAAAACAUACAGCACAGUUUUUCCUUUUUAGGAUCUUAUCUCACAAACAUACCGUGUAAAAAUGUAUGUGCAGAUUUGUUCAUUGUACCAAUACUGGUAACAGUACUGGUAAAAGUCUCUCAUCAGGAAGGGAUUGCUUCAACUGUGGUACGUCACACAAUGGAACCCCAUGCAGCCACAAAAAGGGGUGAGGUAGGUCUAUACGUGCUAACAGUAAAACUGUCACAAGUAAGCGAAAGCACAAGUUGCAAAAAAGAGAGAGAGAAUGUGUGGUUUGAUUACAUUUCUGAAAAAAUAAAAAUCGUUGAUUUUUAAAUGUUAGUAAAUUACAAGAUAUACGCCAAAAUUAACUAUGGUUACCUCCAAGGGAGGAAAGAGUAGAGUGUGUGUGUGUGUGUGUGUGUGUGUGUGUGUGUGUGUGUGUGUGUGGGCGCGCGGCAUGUGGUAAGGGAAGGCUUUCAGAAUUUCUUACCAUGAGCAUAUAUUACUUUGGUAAUCAGAAUAAAUAAAUGUUACUUUAAACAAUCCAAAUAUAAGCAGGGCCAUUGAAAGAUGUGAACUGAUGUUCUGAAUUGCCAAGCACUUUGUGGAUGAGCUUUAUAGACUGUUUUUGGGUAAGCAGGUCCCUUGUCCCCUUCUCUCAAGGUCAAAAAAGCCUAAGCAAAAAUUCCUCCUUUCCCUUCAUUCUACAACCUCUCUUCCGCCCAACAGUAAUCAUCCACAAAAAAGAAACAUCUGAUAUGCUCGAGGGGUUUCCAGAAAACAAGACUUUCCCACUGGGAAGUUAGAGAGCACCCUGGGAAGAAAAAUGGGGAGCUAACAUUUGAGUUCUGCAUGGCAUCUAAGAAUUCCCAAGUCAAUCAACUGUAUCUACUCCGAAGAGCCCCUUCUGGUCUGGGAAGGCCCUCAAAUGCCAGUGGGUCACCACGGAGGUAACGUGCUCUGUAGAUAAACAUGUGCACACAAAGCACCGUGUCCUCAGGAGCUUUGGGGACGUGCUCGUUAUAAUGAGGUAUUGAGAUGCUGUCCCAGAGACCUGGGAGACCAAGAGAAAUCUGCAGAGCCUGGAGUCAAAAGGGCCGCGGCAUGAGUGCCUGCUUGAGAAGACCAGGCCAGUGAUGGUGCUGGAAAAGUCCCAAGUCCAUCCACUCGAUGUCCUGUCGGCCUUACAAAGUCUGCUGGCGGUGGGCCUGCGGGCCCUCCUCGCUGGUGUCCGGGGGCCGGGGGGGGGCAGGCACUGUCUCGGGCUCCCACACCUGUGGAACUGCUUGGAUACGACAGAAGCUGCUCCAGGGGCCACUGUGACGCCGUGGUGACCCUGAGGGGCCUCUUUGCUUUCCCCCCACAAUUGCUUCAGAAACUGUGAGUGUCCACACCUGCGUUCCCACAGUCACCUGUGCAGGACAAGCAGCAAAGACAGAAGAAGGAAUGUUGUGGGAACAAGUGGCUUGUGUGAAUAGUGGGCACCCCUGAGCCGCCUGGGUAUCGGGGUCUGCCCGUUGCUCCUGCUCUCUACAGGCUGUGGGAGGACGCAGGCCACAGCCAGAGGCCAAGCUGGCCGGCCACCGGUUAUGGCUGCCUUCACCUCCCCAUGGCACAGCUAUCCUCAGAGGGCAGGCCUGAGGGAGCCAGGGAAGGCUCAUUUGUAAAGCAGGUUUCCUUUGUUUUCACUCAACAAAUACAACUGGUGCUUCCACUGCACCCUCUCUCACAGCGGAGUGGGCCACUUUUCCUCCCAGCUCGCGGGAGCUUCCAAAUGCCACCAGAAGCAGCCCUCGGAUCUGGCCCUGAGACCCCUGGCCCUUGCCUGCUGGAGGACAGCAGACUCCACCAGCCUCCAAGCUAAGAUGCUUUUUCAGAAGGGGCCAUGGGGAAGAGGGGCAAAAUGGGGAAGUGGAAUGAACUAUGGAGACACCAGCAAAAGGAAAGCAAAGAAGGGGCUAAGGCAUCUUCUGGAGGUCACUAGAGAUGAUCUUUACCGCCUAGUCAUUGGAUUAGAAGGAAGGGUCAAGGCAAAACAUGGCUUUCCUGGCUCGCCCAGUCUACUAGAGUCACCUGCGGUUUGCCCCAUUCCCAGGAUUAGUUCACCAUACCUGUUCAACUUCUCAUCCCUGGUCAAGAGCGUCCUUAAAAACGGCCCUCCUCACCUCUGGGACUCCCCCUGCUUUUCCUCUGGCUAGAACCUGCUCAUCUUUUUCACUCAGUCCUCUGUGGCCACGGGUCUUGGUUAACGGCCCCUUCCACACUGAAAACUCUCCAUACGUUUCUUUUAAAACCUUUUAUUCAAUAAUAUAUACUUUUAAAAUUAUAAUAUGUAACUGCCCGUCAUGCCAUAUAUUGCCCCCGUUCCCCACUGUGGAGUCUGUGGUCGGCUAGUUAACGUGGUCUGCUGGAAAAACAGGUGGCCACAGGCCGAGUCAAGGGGCACGGGAGAGCAACAGUAACCAACAACCAUUUUGCAUACCCUUCACAUUUCCCAUGCUUUCUGGGUCAGGAGGAAGUCAACAGGAAGCCAAAGGCGUGUGAACCUUUUACAUUCAGAAGUGAGGUUUGAAAUACGGUGGCGGGCUGCCCUUCGGUUGGUCUGGUUCGUGCUCGCCAAACCUGCCACCAUUUUGUGUCUGCUCACGGAACGUGAUCGCGCUCUACACACGUUAAGACGUUUGAUUUGGUUCUUGUUCUGCUUAUGGAAAAGUGGGAGGAACCGCAACAGACCUGGGGAAAGAGAUGGGAGGAGGGGAAAGACGACAUUAAUCAAUCUGACCCGGAGUGAGGACAGGCCUCCACUUGCCUGUGGUUUCCUUCUCUCGAAGAGUGCUGGGAACAGUGUGCAAGCUUGACUUUCCCACGCCACUGUGUGGAAAACCUGCACAGUGAAGUGGGUGGUGAGAUGCCAGCAGCGGAAUUCUAGAAGCAACGUCUCACAGAUCGGCACUACAUCGAGAGAAAAGGACUGUGCCCCUGGGAAGCUGUCACAGAAACAUCGCUUCGUGAAAACUUCCUCUGGGUAAAGGAAGAAAGGCCUUUCUUGAGAAAGGCCGCAUGGUGCGUGAGGUUCAAGAAAGAAAGGACUAUUUGCCUUUAAGCACUUCAGCAACUGAUUUCCAAGCGUCCAGCGCCACUGAGGGUUCCAUCAGUGAGAAGCACACUAAUUAAAGACACCACCAUCUGCCAAAUGCAGACACACAAUAGCGUGUGCCCGCUCUUGAUGCAAGGAAUGGGAGUGGGGAGAGGUUUUCAUAAACGCAGAACACUCAGCCACAAAGGUUAAAGUUGUGCACUAAAAUGGGCCAAUCCCAGAAGCAGGUGCCUAGGAGAGGGAUUCUGGAGCAAGUACCAAGAAACAGCACAAGCCCCACAUGACACCACUCUAGUCCCACCUCUCUUGAUAAAGGAAAGCUCCACACGAAGGUGGUGAUGAACUGCAACCCCCAUACACACAUCUUUCCAGUUCAAGGUGCACCCCUCCUCUCCCCCAAGAGACAGGAAAUACAAGUUUAAGGGCCUCAUAGCAGUGGCUUGUCUCCCGCUUGGGAAUCUGGUGGUUAUCAACAUUUUUAUUUUUGAAAACAAGGUUUCACAUGACACUUGUCUUUCCUCUAAGGGCAGCAGCACAUCAAUCAGACAUCAGUCAUCCAGUGAUACAAAGAGGUGGCCAAGUGUGUCUGAAGUGAUCAUUUGGAAGGGAUCACAACCCAGGCAGUGUUGCUGUUCUGCAAACAGAAGGAAAUAGUUGGCUCCACGGUUCUUGAAGAUUUAUCCAAGCUUUCCACAGGGUGUCCAGAUUUCUGUCCCAACCUCUUAGUCGCCAUUUACAGCAAGAAAAGCCAGCAAGUGCAAAACUGUUAAUUUAUUGAUUCAACGAAAGUUUUUUUUUUUUUUUUCAAACAAUCCCCAAUACAUGCAGUUCAGGAUUAAGUAUCACAUUUGUAGCACAUUGUUGAGUCUCUACACAAAAGUACUCAUGGCAUCAGCUGUAUAACCCAUCACAUCACUUUCCCCAGCCUCCACAACACCUGCUUGUCGUCGUUUCCAUGAACACAUCCAUAGAGCUCAAAAGUGUUUGUUAUUACUGGUUUUCUCUGCCAGAUGUUUCACUGCCACCUCCCCUCCCCCAUUCCCACCCUGGGGUUAAUUUUUAGAAGCAGGAUGUUAUGCCACCUUAGACUUAUUAAGCUCACUGAAAACCUCUGGCUCCUCGUGUGCUCCCGUGCACCCUGCUUUUGCUUUUAGAAGGGUUUCUAUUUCAAUGAACUUAACUCCAGCUUACCCCUAUUAUCUGCAGGAGGGAAGUUUGCUUUUUCCUGCGAGUGCCCAUGCAGGAACACAGGUUUCUAAACAAAUCGCUCAGUCUGAACUGGCAUUAAGGGAAACUGCUAAGUGGGCUUA